UUUUAUCUUACAGUCUGCCACAAGGAGGAAUAAGCUGCAAGGCCAAAAGCAGGCAGGUCUCUGCUAGAGUUUUCAGAAAGUCCAGUAAUGUCAAGCUGCAAGAAUCUCAGCUUUUCCCACGUGCUCACGCUCACUGGUCCACCCCAAAGCAUCACUGAAUGGCUGGUGUUCUGGGAAAAGGAUCCAGUGGAGAUUCUGCUUAAUUUGGGGUUUGGUACAGAAGAACCUGAUGUCUGCACAAAAAUCCCUCCUCGGUUCCUCAGUGGUGUUUCUAUAGCAAAAGGAUUUGAUGUCCAAGCCUUUUUGAAAGCUCAGAAGAAGCAGAUGGACAUUG